rnacentral:rRNA from 1 species
UACGGGGGGGGUAAGCGUUGUUCGGAAUUACUGGGCGUAAAGGGCUCGUAGGCGGCCAACUAAGUCAGACGUGAAAUCCCUCAGCUUAACUGGGGAACUGCGUCUGAUACUGGAUGGCUUGGAUUCGGGAGAGGAAUGCGGAAUUCCAGGUGUAGCGGUGAAAUGCGUAGAUAUCUGGAGGAACACCGGUGGCGAAGGCGGCAUCCUGGACCGACCCUGACGCUGAGGAGCGAAAGCCAGGGGAGCAAACGGG